rnacentral:rRNA from 1 species
AAUUUGUAACGAUGGAUCUCCUGUCUCGCGCAUCGAUGACGAAUACAGCUGGCUGCAAGACAACAGCGAUAAAAAUCUAAAUUUUCCAGAGCUAAAUCCUUUGCAGACAACUUAAAUAAAGAACGGGGCAUUGUCAGGAGUAGAGUAG